ensembl:ncRNA F11D5.19 ncRNA
UUAGAAUGAACAGAAGGACUGAUGUGAUAGCUGAAGAACCCACAUUGUUUCCACUAGUCGAACCGCAAUGAUCUACGA